UGAGACAAACGGGUAAAUUGUGUUUGUAGCAUUAGCUGCUAUCUAAUUUACUCAUUUUCUAGCGUUUGAUGCAACCAAGCACUGCAUAAAAUAACACCAUACAUAUAUUAACGUUACGUAAUCUUGGUAUUACGGUGGUACUACUUGUCGGGUAGUAUUUUCACUUGAUUGUGG